UGAUACAUUACAUGUUAGAGGUUAAAAACCAGGUCUUUAGAAAAAGUUGGUCUGGCCCAAUUCAUCCUCAGCUCUGCUUAAUGAAUGGAAAUCAGAGGCACUGUUAAACCAAUCAGAAUCGAGUUUACUGUAUAAAAGAAGCAGGACAGCACAAUGGAAGGAGCGAGGAAAUUGGAAUCAGGUAGCUUGAGGUUCAAAUCUGAGUUUCACCACUUACUGUGUGGCUUUGGGCAAAUUACUUUGGAGUAGGAGUGGGCAAGGUCAAAGAGCUGGCUUAGGGCACACAUCUGGAAAUAUGUGAUGGAAGGUGAAUCUUGAAGAGUGAGUAGCAGCUGGUCAGCAAAGCAAAUGGGUGGAAAGCCAUGCCGGACACUCACUGCUCGAAGGCACAGAGGCAGGAAGGUGGGUUGGUCAGGGGGCUGCUGAGCAGAGAGCUUGGGCUUGUGGAGCUGGGCAGACACUAACAAUGACAGAGGAACCCAUAAACCACACUCAGCAAUCUGGACAGGCCAUUCAGGAUCUCGGCAGGCAUGGUACAUCACCUUUACAUUGGCCCAAUGAAUGAGAAUGAAUUAGGGUUGCAAUGGAGGCAAAGGACCUAUUGUGAGGCUAAAGAAGCUGCUGUGGCAAGAAAUGAUCAGAAGCUGAACUGCUUUGGGCACUGGCAAUGAGUAUGGAAAGGAGGGGGUUGAAUGUCACAGCCAGCAGCUAAUGUGGGGCACACCAGCAUGGGCAGGUGUUUUACACAUGUAUCUUAUUUCAUCCUCAAAGUUGAACAGAUACAAAGAGAGACAGGUACACAGCAAAGUUGGGCAACAUAAUGCUUUGUGUGAAUUAGAAGAGGGUCUCCUAAGGGUGAGCACAUGGUCUGAGAGAAGAUUACAUCUUAAUGGGUAAAACUCCACUGCUUCCAAUGGGCAGCCAUGCCAGGUCACAAGGCUCAACAAGCAGAGGAUAUUGUCUCCCCUUUCACCUUUAGCUGAGUGCCUCUGUGUGAUGCCAAAUGUAUCAGUCCGUUUUCACACUCCUGUAAAGAAAUACUGGAAACUGGGUAAUUUAUAAAGAAAAGAUGUUUAAUUGACUCACAGUUCUGCAUUGCUGGAGCCUCAGGAAAUUUACAAUCGUGGCAGAAGGCAAAGGGGAAGCAGGUACCUCUUCACAGGGUGGCAGGAGAGAAAAGGG
rnacentral:lncRNA from 10 species